CAGCAGCCGCGGUAAUACGUAGGGUGCAAGCGUUAAUCGGAAUUACUGGGCGUAAAGCGUGCGCAGGCGGUCCGCUAAGACAGAUGUGAAAUCCCCGGGCUUAACCUGGGAACUGCAUUUGUGACUGGCGGGCUAGAGUAUGGCAGAGGGGGGUAGAAUUCCACGUGUAGCAGUGAAAUGCGUAGAGAUGUGGAGUAAUACCGAUGGCGAAGGCAGCCCCCUGGGCCAAUACUGACGCUCAUGCACGAAAGCGUGGGGAGCAAACAGGAUUAGAUACCCCUGUAGUCCCUGUCUCUUAUAC
rnacentral:rRNA from 1 species